rnacentral:tRNA from 1 species
GGGGUUGUGGCUCAGAGGUAGAGCACUUGCCUACAUGCAUGAGGCACUGGAUUCAAUCCCCAGCACCA